rfam:Actinobacteria bacterium 13_1_20CM_4_68_12 13_1_20cm_4_scaffold_1897, whole genome shotgun sequence.
GCCGGGGUGGCGAAACUGGUCAUACGCGCCUGACUUAAAAUCAGGUGUCUCCUCUGGAGGCGUAAGGGUUCGAGUCCCUUCCCCGGCA